GUUAUAGGGUCAAGCGAACAAGUGCAUGUGGUGGAUGCCUUGGCGAUCACAGGCGAUGAAGGACGCGGUAGCCUGCGAAAAGCCCCGGGGAGCUGGCAAACAAGCUUUGAUCCGGGGAUGUCCGAAUGGGGAAACCCACUCCGUAUGGAGUAUCCAUGAC
rnacentral:rRNA from 1 species